rnacentral:rRNA from 1 species
AACAGGAUUAGAUACCCUGGUAGUCCACGCUGUAAACGAUGUCGACUUGGAGGUUGUGCCCUUGAGGCGUGGCUUCCGGAGCUAACGCGUUAAGUCGACCGCCUGGGGAGUACGGCCGCAAGGUUAAAACUCAAAUGAAUUGACGGGGGCCCGCACAAGCGGUGGAGCAUGUGGUUUAAUUCGAUGCAACGCGAAGAACCUUACCUACUCUUGACAUCCAGAGAAUUUGCUAGAGAUAGCUUAGUGCCUUCGGGAACUCUGAGACAGGUGCUGCAUGGCUGUCGUCAGCUCGUGUUGUGAAAUGUUGGGUUAAGUCCCGCAACGAGCGCAACCCUUAUCCUUUGUUGCCAGCACGUAAUGGUGGGAACUCAAAGGAGACUGCCGGUGAUAAACCGGAGGAAGGUGGGGAUGACGUCAAGUCAUCAUGGCCCUUACGAGUAGGGCUACACACGUGCUACAAUGGCAUAUACAAAGAGAAGCGAACUCGCGAGAGCAAGCGGACCUCAUAAAGUACGUCGUAGUCCGGAUUGGAGUCUGCAACUCGACUCCAUGAAGUCGGAAUCGCUAGUAAUCGUAGAUCAGAAUGCUACGGUGAAUACGUUCCCGGGCCUUGUACACACCGCCCGUCACACCAUGGGAGUGGGUUGCAAAAGAAGUAGGUAGCUUAACCUUCGGGAGGGCGCUUACCACUUUGUGAUUCAUGACUGGGGUGAAGUCGUAACAAGGUAACC